CAGUCGCCGCGGGAAUACAGAGGGUGCGAGCGUUAAUCGGAUUUACUGGGCGUAAAGCGUGCGUAGGCGGCUUUUUAAGUCGGAUGUGAAAUCCCUGAGCUUAACUUAGGAAUUGCAUUCGAUACUGGGAAGCUAGAGUAUGGGAGAGGAUGGUAGAAUUCCAGGUGUAGCGGUGAAAUGCGUAGAGAUCUGGAGGAAUACCGAUGGCGAAGGCAGCCAUCUGGCCUAAUACUGACGCUGAGGUACGAAAGCAUGGGGAGCAAACAGGAUUAGAGACCCGUGUAGUCCCUGUCUCUUAUAA
rnacentral:rRNA from 1 species